GGGUUGUGAGGUUAAGCGACUAAGCGUACACGGUGGAUGCCCUGGCAGUCAGAGGCGAUGAAGGACGUGCUAAUCUGCGAAAAGCGCCGGCGAGGUGAUAUGAACCUUUGACCCGGCGAUGUCCGAAUGGGGAAACCCAGUGUGUUCCGACACACUAUCGUUAACUGAAUACAUAGGUUAACGAGGCGAACCGGGGGAACUGAAACAUCUAAGUACCCCGAGGAAAAGAAAUCAACCGAGAUUCCCCCAGUAGCGGCGAGCGAACGGGGAGCAGCCCGGAGUCUGAAUCAGCUUGUGUGUUAGUGGAACGGUCUGGAAAGUCCGACGGUACAGGGUGAUAGUCCCGUACACGAAAGCACACUUGCUGUGAACUCGAAGAGUAGGGCGGGACACGUGGUAUCCUGUCUGAAUAUGGGGGGACCAUCCUCCAAGGCUAAAUACUCCUGACUGACCGAUAGUGAACCAGUACCGUGAGGGAAAGGCGAAAAGAACCCCGGCGAGGGGAGUGAAAAAGAACCUGAAACCGUGUACGUACAAGCAGUGGGAGCACCUUCGUGGUGUGACUGCGUACCUUUUGUAUAAUGGGUCAGCGACUUAUAUUCUGUAGCAAGGUUAACCGUAUAGGGGAGCCGAAGGGAAACCGAGUCUUAACUGGGCGUUAAGUUGCAGGGUAUAGACCCGAAACCCGGUGAUCUAGCCAUGGGCAGGUUGAAGGUUGGGUAACACUAACUGGAGGACCGAACCGACUAAUGUUGAAAAAUUAGCGGAUGACCUGUGGCUGGGGGUGAAAGGCCAAUCAAACCGGGAGAUAGCUGGUUCUCCCCGAAAGCUAUUUAGGUAGCGCCUCGUGAACUCAUCUUCGGGGGUAGAGCACUGUUUCGGCUAGGGGGCCAUCCCGGCUUACCAACCCGAUGCAAACUACGAAUACCGAAGAAUGUUAUCACGGGAGACACACGGCGGGUGCUAACGUCCGUCGUGAAGAGGGAAACAACCCAGACCGCCAGCUAAGGUCCCAAAGUCAUGGUUAAGUGGGAAACGAUGUGGGAAGGCACAGACAGCCAGGAUGUUGGCUUAGAAGCAGCCAUCAUUUAAAGAAAGCGUAAUAGCUCACUGGUCGAGUCGGCCUGCGCGGAAGAUGUAACGGGGCUAAACCAUGCACCGAAGCUGCGGCAGCGACACUAUGUGUUGUUGGGUAGGGGAGCGUUCUGUAAGCCGUUGAAGGUGUGCUGUGAGGCAUGCUGGAGGUAUCAGAAGUGCGAAUGCUGACAUAAGUAACGAUAAAGCGGGUGAAAAGCCCGCUCGCCGGAAGACCAAGGGUUCCUGUCCAACGUUAAUCGGGGCAGGGUGAGUCGACCCCUAAGGCGAGGCCGAAAGGCGUAGUCGAUGGGAAACAGGUUAAUAUUCCUGUACUUGGUGUUACUGCGAAGGGGGGACGGAGAAGGCUAUGUCAGCCGGGCGACGGUUGUCCCGGUUUAAGCAUGUAGGCGGAGGUUCCAGGUAAAUCCGGUACCUUAUUAACGCUGAGGUGUGAUGACGAGGCACUACGGUGCUGAAGUGAUAAAUGCCCUGCUUCCAGGAAAAGCCUCUAAGCAUCAGGUAACACGAAAUCGUACCCCAAACCGACACAGGUGGUCAGGUAGAGAAUACCAAGGCGCUUGAGAGAACUCGGGUGAAGGAACUAGGCAAAAUGGUGCCGUAACUUCGGGAGAAGGCACGCUGAUGUGUAGGUGAAGUCCCUGCGGACGGAGCUGAAAUCAGUCGAAGAUACCAGCUGGCUGCAACUGUUUAUUAAAAACACAGCACUGUGCAAACACGAAAGUGGACGUAUACGGUGUGACGCCUGCCCGGUGCCGGAAGGUUAAUUGAUGGGGUUAGCUGUAAGGCGAAGCUCUUGAUCGAAGCCCCGGUAAACGGCGGCCGUAACUAUAACGGUCCUAAGGUAGCGAAAUUCCUUGUCGGGUAAGUUCCGACCUGCACGAAUGGCGUAAUGAUGGCCAGGCUGUCUCCACCCGAGACUCAGUGAAAUUGAACUCGCUGUGAAGAUGCAGUGUACCCGCGGCAAGACGGAAAGACCCCGUGAACCUUUACUAUAGCUUGACACUGAACACUGGUCCUUGAUGUGUAGGAUAGGUGGGAGGCUUUGAAGCGUGGACGCCAGUCUGCGUGGAGCCGUCCUUGAAAUACCACCCUUUAAUGGCUGGUGUUCUAACGUAGACCCGUAAUCCGGGUUGCGGACAGUGUCUGGUGGGUAGUUUGACUGGGGCGGUCUCCUCCCAAAGAGUAACGGAGGAGCACGAAGGUUGGCUAAUCCUGGUCGGACAUCAGGAGGUUAGUGCAAUGGCAUAAGCCAGCUUGACUGCGAGCGUGACGGCGCGAGCAGGUGCGAAAGCAGGUCAUAGUGAUCCGGUGGUUCUGAAUGGAAGGGCCAUCGCUCAACGGAUAAAAGGUACUCCGGGGAUAACAGGCUGAUACCGCCCAAGAGUUCAUAUCGACGGCGGUGUUUGGCACCUCGAUGUCGGCUCAUCACAUCCUGGGGCUGAAGUAGGUCCCAAGGGUAUGGCUGUUCGCCAUUUAAAGUGGUACGCGAGCUGGGUUUAGAACGUCGUGAGACAGUUCGGUCCCUAUCUGCCGUGGGCGCUGGAGAAUUGAGGGGGGCUGCUCCUAGUACGAGAGGACCGGAGUGGACGCAUCACUGGUGUUCGGGUUGUCAUGCCAAUGGCACUGCCCGGUAGCUAAAUGCGGAAGAGAUAAGUGCUGAAAGCAUCUAAGCACGAAACUUGCCCCGAGAUGAGUUCUCCCUGAGACUUUAAGUCUCCUGAAGGAACGUUAAAGACGAUGACGUUGAUAGGUCGGGUGUGUAAGCGCAGCGAUGCGUUGAGCUAACCGAUACUAAUGAACCGUGAGGCUUAACCUUACAACGCCGAAG
rnacentral:rRNA from 2 species